rnacentral:rRNA from 1 species
AUUGAACGCUGGCGGCAGGCCUAACACAUGCAAGUCGAACGGUAACAGGAAGCAGCUUGCUGCUUCGCUGACGAGUGGCGGACGGGUGAGUAAUGUCUGGGAAGCUGCCUGAUGGAGGGGGAUAACUACUGGAAACGGUAGCUAAUACCGCAUAAUGUCGCAAGACCAAAGAGGGGGACCUUCGGGCCUCUUGCCAUCGGAUGUGCCCAGAUGGGAUUAGCUUGUUGGUGGGGUAACGGCUCACCAAGGCGACGAUCCCUAGCUGGUCUGAGAGGAUGACCAGCCACACUGGAACUGAGCCACGGUCCAGACUCCUACGGGAGGCAGCAGUGGGGAAUAUUGCACAAUGGGCGCAAGCCUGAUGCAGCCAUGCCGCGUGUAUGAAGAAGGCCUUCGGGUUGUAAAGUACUUUCAGCGGGGAGGAAGGGAGUAAAGUUAAUACCUUUGCUCAUUGACGUUACCCGCAGAAGAAGCACCGGCUAACUCCGUG